rnacentral:rRNA from 1 species
GACGGAGGGUGCAAGCGUUGUUCGGAAUUACUGGGCGUAAAGCGCACGUAGGCGGGUUGUUAAGUCAGGGGUGAAAUCCCGGAGCUCAACUCCGGAACUGCCUUUGAUACUGGCAAUCUAGAGACUGGAAGAGGUUAGUGGAAUUCCCAGUGUAGAGGUGAAAUUCGUAGAUAUUGGGAAGAACACCAGUGGCGAAGGCGGCUAACUGGUCCAGUACUGACGCUGAGGUGCGAAAGCGUGGGGAGCAAACAGG